GGUAUUAUAUUUUAAAAAAUAAAAAUAUUAAAUUGCAAGUUUAAAGAUAGAAUGUUCUUAAUACCU
rnacentral:tRNA from 1 species